rnacentral:rRNA from 1 species
AUUGAACGCUGGCGGCAGGCCUAACACAUGCAAGUCGAGCGGAUGAAGGGAGCUUGCUCCUGGAUUCAGCGGCGGACGGGUGAGUAAUGCCUAGGAAUCUGCCUUGUAGUGGGGGAUAACGUCCGGAAACGGGCGCUAAUACCGCAUACGUCCUGAGGGAGAAAGUGGGGGAUCUUCGGACCUCACGCUAUCAGAUGAGCCUAGGUCGGAUUAGCUAGUUGGUGGGGUAAAGGCCUACCAAGGCGACGAUCCGUAACUGGUCUGAGAGGAUGAUCAGUCACACUGGAACUGAGACACGGUCCAGACUCCUACGGGAGGCAGCAGUGGGGAAUAUUGGACAAUGGGCGAAAGCCUGAUCCAGCAAUGCCGCGUGUGUGAAGAAGGUCUUCGGAUUGUAAAGCACUUUAAGUUGGGAGGAAGGGCAGUAAGUUAAUACCUUGCUGUUUUGACGUUACCAACAGAAUAAGCACCGGCUAACUUCGUG